rnacentral:rRNA from 1 species
UCUACCUUUUACAGGGGAAUAGCCCAGAGAAAUUUGGAUUAAUGCCCCAUAGUAUAAUUGAAUGGCAUCAUUUAAUUAUUAAAGUCACAACGGUAAAAGAUGAGCAUGCGUCCCAUUAGUUAGUUGGUAAGGUAACGGCUUACCAAGACAAUGAUGGGUAGGGGUCCUGAGAGGGAGAUCCCCCACACUGGUACUGAGACACGGACCAGACUCCUACGGGAGGCAGCAGUGAGGAAUAUUGGACAAUGGGCGCAAGCCUGAUCCAGCCAUGCCGCGUGCAGGAAGACGGUCCUAUGGAUUGUAAACUGCUUUUAUACAGGAAGAAACACUCCGACGUGUCGGAGCUUGA